GUCUAAAUGCUAUUGUUUCUUUCUCUUCUGCUAAACACUGCGCAGUCAAUUCUACAAAUGAGAGGGUUAUAAUCAGUUUGGGAUUAGAUUAAUCAUCAGGGCCUUGCGUGUUGUGUUGGCAGUGACUUUCUCUUGUUCAUCUCGUCCUUGAGUACGUCUCCCAGACUAAGUGGACGUAUUAUUAUGCAUAUCCGAAACGACUGCGAACACCACGACAUUCAACCCAUAACAGUUGAUUUUAAAUGAUGUUCCUUUAGCGGGGCUGACAAUAUAUUCGGUAUAGCCAAUAACAUGCGGCGGACUCGACGGCCUCCUCGAAGUGAAAGUGGUUCGUUUGGUGGCCUGGCAACAUGGAAUGUUAUCUUUUUUGUGUGUGUGUGUGUGUGUGUGAAAAGAGUACAUCCGAUAUUCUUGUGCAUAUACAUUUCUUUGGCUCUC